rnacentral:tRNA from 1 species
GGGCCGUUAGCUCAGUCGGUAGAGCAGUGGACUUUUAAUCCAUUGGUCGAAGGUUCGAAUCCUUCACGGCCCA